rnacentral:lncRNA from 1 species
GUAUUCAAUUUUUUUGUAUCCGAAAAAAGAAGAAGAAAAACUCUUGUUGGUUGUGGCUCUUUUAUAGCCGAAAUUACAAGUUGUUUUGUCUCUAUUUUUGUUUUUUUCUUUGUUGUUUUUCUCCGCUUGUUAUCUUCUGCUUGUUGGUUUCUUACAGGUGGCAGAGAAAAGUGAGAUGCGUGUGGAGGAGGCUGGCAUGCGGCUGCGCGACUAGGGUUGUCAGGGUGGCAGAGGCGGCAGUGGCUAGGGUUUUCAGAGUUUCUGAAAAUGUUUAAACAUUUUGGGCCACUGGGCUUUUAAUUUUUUUGGUUGUAGUUUUAAUUUUUUUUUAGGUUUGUAAUUUGUAGUUGGAAUUUUGAUAUUUGGACCUUUUUAUUUAUUUUUUGGAUUUAUUUAUUGUUUGUAUUUGGUCUUGGGCCCGGGCAAAAUUGGCCUAUUACAAUUGCCCCUCUUUGCUCAUUUUCGUGUAACGGGAAUGUAGCAAAGAGAUCAAAAAGGGUAAAUUUUGCCUGGUCUAAGAUGAGAUUUGUAUCUUCA